GCGCCGGUAGUAUAAUGGUUCGUAUAUUUGGCUUCCAACCAAAUGAUCCGGGUUCGAUUCCCGGCUGGCGCA
rnacentral:tRNA from 1 species